rnacentral:rRNA from 1 species
GCCUUAACUGAAAGCAUUACUACGCUUUCGCCAGAGAACUACAAGCGACAAGCUUCAAACUCAAAGGACUUGACGGUGUCCCACAUCGACCUAGAGGAGCCUGUCCUAUAAUCGAUACCCCCCGUUCCACCCAACCAUUACUAGCAAGACUCAGCCUAUAUUCCGCCGUCGACAGUCUACCCCAUGAGGGCCAAACAGUAGACACAAUAGCUAUAUCAACUAAUACGUCAGGUCAAGGUGUAGCAAAUGUAAAGGAAGUGAUUGGCUACAUUUUUUAACUUAAAAAACACGAAAUACAGCAUGAAACUCUGUAUGAAGGUGAAUUUAGCAGUAAAAUUAAACAAGAGUGUUUAUUUUAACACCGCUCUGGGACGCGUACACACCGCCCGU